CUAAGCGCGAAGCCAACUUCAAGAUAAGAUUUCCCACCGCAAGGGUAAGACCCCAGAAAGACUAUCUGGGUGAUAGGUCGAAGGUGUAAGUGCAGCAAUGUAUUUAGCUUAUCGAUACUAAUAGGUCGAGGACUUGACCAA
rnacentral:rRNA from 1 species